rnacentral:rRNA from 1 species
AACUUAAGCAUAUCAAUAAGCGGAGGAAAAGAAACUAACAAGGAUUCCCCUAGUAACUGCGAGUGAAGCGGGAAGAGCUCAAAUUUAAAAUCUGGCAGUGUAAAAGCUGUCCGAGUUGUAAUUUCGAGAAGUGUUUUCUGUGCCAGACCGUGUACAAGUCUCCUGGAAUGGGGCGUCAUAGAGGGUGAGAAUCCCGUCUUUGACACGGAAUUCAUAUGGUGCUCUGUGAUACACUCUCAAAGAGUCGAGUUGUUUGGGAAUGCAGCUCAAAAUGGGUGGUGAACUCCAUCUAAAGCUAAAUAUUGGCGAGAGACCGAUAGCGAACAAGUACCGUGAGGGAAAGAUGAAAAGCACUUUGGAAAGAGAGUGAAACAGUACGUGAAAUUGCUGAAAGGGAAACGCUUGAAGUCAGUCGCAUUUGCCAGAAUUCAACUGUCACUUGUUGGCAGUGUACUUUCUUGGUGAAUGGGCCAGCAUCACUUUUGGCUCGCUGGACAAGGGCGGGAGAAAUGUGGCACUCUUUUAUUAGGGUGUGUUAUAGUCUUCCGUCAUAUACAGUGGCUGGGAGUGAGGACCGCCUUUAUUGUAGGAUGCUGGCGUAAUGGCUUUAAUCGACCCGUCU